ensembl:lncRNA
UUUUUUUUUCUGUUCACUUCCCAAAGCAGAACGAGAAGUUUUUCUCUUGUUAAACCAAUUCACGUUGCUCUAGAAAUUGCAAGUCACUGAAUUUCUGUAUAAGCAUUGUCAUGUAAGCAAUUAAAAGUUGCUGUUUCUUCCUGUUGACCUAAUCAGUUAUGUAUUGCUUUUGUGUCUGAAAGACUUUUAGAGCAAUUUAGUACUUAGAGAAUGAAAUACUUUUAUAAAAUGAUAUCAUCUGAAUAGUGGCAUCAAAACAAAGCAAUGACACAGCAUCCGUUCGCCUAAGGAUUCAGCGGAGGAGGGACCAUGAGCGGUGGGAAGCUAUGGCAGCCUGACAGUUUGAAUUGUACUGAAUAAUCCCAGUUCCCUCAGUCCCGCAAAAGACUUCUGCUCCAUACUCCUCACCAGCUUCGCUGCCCUUCACUGGAUAUGCUCCAAGGCUUCAGCAUCCUUCUUGAAAUGAGGAGACCAAAACUGAACACAGCAUUCAAGGAAGAGAUAAAACCCAUGUAUGACUAGUGAAUUGACAACUUGUGUUACUUCAACGAAAGUGUGGAUCAUUCUGCAGAACCAAUCAUUUCAUGGUAGAAAACAGUGCCAUGACUUUAGGAAUCCUUCAGCAACACAACCAUGCCUACCAAGGGGAGGAGUAAGUGCAAAAGACACAUUUUACAACUAUGCUACAAAAAGAAUAGUGGGGACGAAUAGACUGGUUUCCUUACCUUCCUGCAUCAUCUUGAUGGCUCCUAAAACAACUACUAGUUCUAUAUACUUACAUGAAUUUUUUAUGUUGGUAAUAUUAUUCUGCCACAGCAUUUCAUGCUGCAGAACAUGCAGUUCACACUUGUCCCUUCUGUUGUGUGUGGCAGAAGCCAAACUGAUUUAACAGUGAAAUAGCUGAAGACUAAUUUUGUAUAAGCUGUGGCUAUUAAGAUCCACCAUUUAAUUAUUCUCAGUAACCUAAUGGAAGACCUGAUUUUGAAACAUAAAAGAUAGUGGGAGGAAGAAGAAAAAACUUCUGGCAAGUUUAUGUUUGACAUUCUGUGAAAUAUUGCUGAACUUUACAAUUGUUUGAAAAUUAUUACUGCAUUUAAAUGUCUAAUGCUCUUGAAAAUCCAUUUAAGAAAAUAAAAAUGUGAGACAUGGUUGUUUCAUUUUUCUUGAAAAGAUGGUAAAUAUGAUAUUUUGAUUUACUUAUGUUUUGUGAUAUUGCAGUGGGUCAUCAGAUUGACUGGAUGUGAAGACAAUUAAGUCUUCUCUCAAAGAUAACAGCAGGAAGUAAUCUUUAGUCUACCCUGAUAAGUAACUCUUCUCAAGCAGAAGUCUUGAGUUAAUAGAUCUGAAGUCUGAAGAAAAAGAUACACACAAAAACAUUUGUACUGUCUGAAUUUUCAUGGCUUUUAAAUGUAUGUAGAGCAGAUUAAGUCUUUACUGGAAGAGAAAGAAUACAUUCAUAAUAAAAGAUUACUAGUCAGUUGCAGAACAGUUUUCUCAACGUUGUGUAUUCAGUGCUUUCUCUCUGUACUUAAAAUUUUGAUUGUAAAUGUUGGUCCUGUGCAGUCUGCUUAUCAAGGUUCAAGAUUUUUUGAAGGCCCCAUUUAAUUCAAAUUCUGCUUUUAAGAGCUCUCCUAAAUAGCUAGGGCAUAUUCCUGUAAAGACACAGAUGUUCUCUUCACGUCAUCUUUUCUUACCCUCCUUGAUUAGGCCAUGAUUUUCUCUGUUUGUUUUGAAAUAGGCCAGUGGUGUACACCUCUAUAGCUGCCUACUUUCAUUAGCUAUUCAAAGUGAUACUCUUAUGAAUGUAACUUACGAGGUACUUCAAAGUGAUAUUUUUGCUUUUACAGAAAAAGUUUACUAAAUUAAUACCUAGCUAAGUCAUCCUUCUAUCAACCUAUUGGUAAACAUAGAUGUAAAAAAAAAUUACCAGUAAUCUCUAAAAUUUCAAUCUGUUCUUACCAAUGUUAAAAUUAUUUUAUUUAGGAAUAUUAGAUUAAUUUUAUUUCUGGAAAAACCUUGAAAAAAUGUAUCAGGUAACUGUUGUUACUACUGUGGAAUUCAUUCUUCCAUAUGAUACAUUUCCUUUGGCAGAUUAACUGUGCUUUGGUGAUCCAUGUAUGCUUUUCUUUUGUUCAUACAAUACAAUAAACAUACUGUUAAUG